rnacentral:rRNA from 1 species
GAUGAACGCUGACAGAAUGCUUAACACAUGCAAGUCUACUUGAAUUUGGGUUUUUUAACUUAGAUUUGGGUGGCGGACGGGUGAGUAACGCGUAAAGAACUUGCCUCACAGCUAGGGACAACAUUUGGAAACGAAUGCUAAUACCUGAUAUUAUGAUUAUAAGGCAUCUUAGAAUUAUGAAAGCUAUAUGCGCUGUGAGAGAGCUUUGCGUCCCAUUAGCUAGUUGGAGAGGUAACGGCUCACCAAGGCGAUGAUGGGUAGCCGGCCUGAAAGGGUGAACGGCCACAAGGGGACUGAGACACGGCCCUUACUCCUACGGGAGGCAGCAGUGGGGAAUAUUGGACAAUGGACCAAGAGUCUGAUCCAGCAAUUCUGUGUGCACGAUGACGUUUUUCGGAAUGUAAAGUGCUUUCAGUUGGGAAGAAAAAAAUGACGGUACCAACAGAAGAAGUGACGGCUAAAUACGUG